rnacentral:rRNA from 1 species
CCUGGAAGACCGGGAUAACCUGCCGAAAGGCUGGCUAAUACCGGAUAAGCUCUCAGGGUCUUUGGACCCCGAGGGAAAAGAUGGCCUCUGUAUACAAGCUAUCACUUCCAGAUGAGCCCGCGGCCCAUCAGCUAGUUGGCGGGGUAAUGGCCCACCAAGGCAACGACGGGUAGCUGGUCUGAGAGGACGAUCAGCCACACUGGAACUGAGACACGGUCCAG